GGGUGUGUAGCUCAGUGGUAGAGCAUGUGCUUAGCAUACACAAAGUCCUGGACUCAAUCCCUGGCACCUCCA
rnacentral:tRNA from 1 species